rnacentral:lncRNA from 1 species
GUUCACAUUACUAGACACUUAUUCUCGUCAUUAAAUAAAUAAAAAAAAUUUAUACGCAAAAUUUCUUAAUUAUUUUUAUAGAAUAUAUCGGGUUGUCACAUUCACCCUCCCUUAUAAGGAUUCCGUCCCCGGAAUCACCGCUUUAAAACUCAUACGUAGAAGGGUACAUAGUAUAUAAUCAUUGUACGUAGAUCUCGAUCAUACGUGAUCGAACUGAUCUUUAACUAUUCUCCAUAACGCUUGUCUAUCUGAUAAACAGAAAUUUGAUUUCUAAAAGAACUCAAAUUCCUUCCUCAAAAUUUCUUUA